rnacentral:rRNA from 1 species
GACAGAGGGGCAAGCGUUGCUCGGAAUUACUGGGCGUAAAGGGCGCGUAGGCGGGAUGGCAAGUCGGUCGUGAAAUCCCUCGGCUCAACCGAGGAACGUCGAUCGAUACUGCUGUUCUUGAGGAUUGCAGAGGAGACUGGAAUUCCCGGUGUAGCGGUGAAAUGUGUAGAGAUCAGGAGGAACACCGGUGGCGAAGGCGGCUUGCUGGGCCUUACCUGACGCUGGAGGAGCGAAAGCCGUGGGGAG